rnacentral:lncRNA from 1 species
CCCGAAGCACACAAAAAACUGAACCAGCACGGGGGACAGCCAAAGGACAGCCUCGCUGUCAAUUCCGCGAAAAGUUGGAUCGGCUUGGCGGAACGGGCAGUCCUCCAUGGCACGGACGCCAGAAGCUCCGCGUUUUUUGUCGCGAUGAUUGCAAAAACAGAUUCGGGCUCUACGAGCACACUCUCUGGGCCUCGAGUUUAUCGAUAAUAGCGAGGAUUGCGUCUUGUUAAAUAGACGAGUGAAAGACUACAAGAGCCCUGUACUUUUUCGAGUUUGCAAGUCACACGUGAACCUCAAAGCAAACGUCUGGUAUUCAGAUGGAGAGAUGGAGGACGUCAGUACGGCAAAUUGGGUUCGGCACUUUUCCUGUACCUUGUGUAACGAUCCCUGAUGUGCACUUUGAGGAAAGUGUGGACAUAUGCUGUCCUGCGGCGGUUCAAGGACUUGACUCUGCAUCUGCGUGUCCGUAGCUGGAACAGGGGUCAACUGUAUCGAUGCCUCAAAACGGUUCGCGCGUCGUGUGUGGCCUUAAAACCUCUUUCCUCAAACCCCA